rnacentral:rRNA from 1 species
AAACGUAGGACGCAAGCGUUAUCCGGAAUUACUGGGCGUAAAGCGCGUGUAGGCGGUUUUGUAAGUCACUUGUGAAAGCUCAUGGCUAAACUGUGAGAGGUCAGGUGAUACUGCAAGGCUAGAGGGCAGUAGAGGGGUGCGGAAUUCCGGGUGUAGUGGUGAAAUGCGUAGAUAUCCGGAGGAACACCAGAGGCGAAGGCGGCGCCCUGGACUGUGCCUGACGCUGAGACGCGAAAGCAUGGGUAGCGAACGGGAUUAGAGACCCCGGUAGUCCAUGCCGUAAACGAUGCACACUAGAUGUUCGUCUGGUACUGCCAGAUGAGCGUCGCAGCUAACGCGAUAAGUGUGCCGCCUGGGGAGUACGGUCGCAAGGCUAAA